CCUACGGGAGGCAGCAGUGAGGAAUAUUUGUCAAUGGGCGGAAGCCUGAACCAGCCAAGUAGCGUGCAGGAUGCCGGCCCUACGGGUUGUAAACUGCUUUUAUACGGGAAUAACGCGCCUUACUUGUAGGGCUUUGCAUGUACCGUAUGAAUAAUGACCGGCUAAUUCCGGGCCUGCAGCCGCGGUAAUUAGGCAGGUCCGGGCGUUAUCCGGAUUUGUUGGGUGUAACGGGAGCGUAGGCCGCAUGUCAAGCGUGCUGUGAAAUGUCCGGGCUCAACCCGGGCCUUGCAGCGCGAACUGGCGUGCUUGAGUCCGCGGAAAGCAGGCGGAAUUCGUCGUGUAGCGGUGAAAUGCUUAGAUAUGACGAAGAACCCCGAUUGCGAAGGCAGCUUGCUGCAGCGGAACUGACGCUGAUGCUCGAAAGCGCGGGUAUCGAACAGGAUUAGAUACCCGAGUAGUC
rnacentral:rRNA from 1 species